UACAAUUCAAUUGAGAUUUGAAUGGGGACACAGCCAACAUAUCAACAUGCCCUUGGCCCAGCAAUUCCACCUGAGUAUGUGCCCAACAGAAAUCUAUUCACUAAUGCACUCAAAGACCUAAAAAAUAAUGUUCAUAGCAGCACUGUUUAAAAUGGCCCCAACCUUGAAACAACCCCAAUGCCAUCAACAGAAUGGAUAAUAAGGUAGUUAAGUGUACACAGUGGGAAUGAACAAAUGACAACUAUAUGCAACAUGCACAAUUUCACAAAUGUAAUGUUGAGUGAAGGAAACCAGGCACAGUAAAGUACAUGCUGGAUAAUUCUGUUUAGGUAAAGUUCAAAACCAGGAAAAAGGAACCUGUGCUGUUGGAAGAGAGUUACCUUUGUCAGGGAAGUGAUGAAAAGGGAGUCCAAGGAGGGCAGCUAGGGUGCUGGUAAUGUUUUGCCUCUUGAUCUAGGCAUUGGUUGCCUAGGUGUCUUCAGUUUGUGAAAUCUCAUUGAGUUGUAGAGUUAUAUAUGUGUAUAUUUCUGUAGGAAUAUCAUACUUCAAUUUUAAUAAAAGAGUAAAGAAUGCAGCAGGCAGGGUACAUGGUGUAGAAGAGAUGGCUGAUUUUCACUGGGAAAGAUUACCCACAGCCCUGGAGUUCACUCUCUGGGCUCCCUGAUGUGCGUACUAUCCCACAGAUUGUUCUCCAAAUUAGAAUGAAUGCAGGCUGGUUUCAGUAUUAUGGGGGUGCUCCUCUGCCUCAGGUCCCAGUGCCAUUGUUACAACAUCAAAGACCAACUGCUGGCUGAGAUGCGGUCCAUAUGAAAAGAGUGACCAGCAAAUUUACUGCUUGACUUCAUUCCCCUUAAAAGGAACUGGCUCCAUGGUCCUCCUUCAAAGCUCAAUUGUAGACAUAUAUCUUCUUUAUAGGACAUCGUUUACAAUAAAGAGGAGCAAUAACUUAAAAUUUAAAAAAAAGAAUACUUUUGAGAGCACUGUGAGGUGGACAUUCCAUUUAAUAAACAUCACUGUGGUUACAUUGCCCAAACAUUCCCAGAAGUCCAGCCAUGGGCCUGAGAGACUUCUACUGGACAUGGUGACUUUUGGGGACUAAUUUGAAUUAUAUUUUUAUGCUCUAGCCCUCUCCCUAGGCUCUGAAAGUUCUUGAGAAGGUCAUUAAUGAGAGGCAAUCUACUUCAAACCAGAGGGCCACCUCACUAAAAUCAGGCAAAAUGGCAAAAUUCAUAGCCCAUUACUCAUUAACUUAUUUGGAGCUGCCCUUCAGUAGGGUAAACAUUUUUUUAAGGGUUGGGGCCAAAUUAAACUCCUGGAUCGAUUAUACAUAGUUCCCCAAUACCCACAUGGACAUCACUCCACAUAAUUCCAGUGUGAAAAUCUCACAGACUUAUUAGCAUUUCCAGAUACUAGAACUCAACUAGAAAACAACAAAGUUGUUUUUAUGCCUAUCAGAAAAUGAAGAAUGUUAUUAACUUUCCAAGAAGGAAAAAAGUAAAAUUAUUUAUAAUAUACAGGAUGUUUUUGGCUUCACAUGGAGUCUGACCCAGGUGGUGGAGAAAGUCACAUCUACGAUCAAAAUGACCAGCCUCCUGAAAACUGACCAAUCCAGAAUAAUCCUUUCAGGUUCACUCAUGAUAGCAGUUGAUCAGCCCAUAGAGGAUACAACGUUCUAAAGAGUGGGCAAGUCAUCCACUUCUGUUUAACCCAUUACUCCUGAAAAGGUUCAGCUCUCCAUACUUUGCUGGAAAAAGGCUAACAACUCAGUGCAUCCUUCCCUCUCUGCUCCCCUCACUGGUACAUUCAGGAAGACACGAACCAGGUGAGACAACUGAGAGCUCCUUACUGAGAGUGUGAAGUGUGAUGGUGGCACAACAUGCAAUUCCGAAGACAUCAUGAAAUGAGAUAAAUCUGGGGAAUCCACAUCAACUAGAAAAAAACUGGAAACAUUUGAAGAGGCAUUGGGAUCACAAAGAGAGUGAAUCUAAACAUUGAACAGCAGGUAUUAAAUAGAAAUAAUGAAAGGCAAGUUCUCAGGAAAAAAUCUGUGGCAGACUAGGUAUUCGAAGUUCUGUUCCAGGUUCUCCCCAGGGACUCAUUGCCCUGAAACUCUGUCUGGUGUGGUUCUCUCAUGCCCCACAAUGGUUCUUUCACUUCUUAUUCACCAAGGCCAGGAUUAAUGCUAAGGUCUGGACGAACCCAAUAAUGGGCAUGAAUGGCCUUGGCCUUAAGUUUUCAGGGAUCCAUCUGCAGGGUCCUCCCUGAGAUCUGAGAAGGGUUUUACUUACUUCUUUCAUCUUAAGGUGAAUGCUAGUGGGGGAAUUAUUGUGGUGUGCCCCAAGAACGUUCUGUGUCUUGGUCCUGACAAUCUACAUGAAGUACCUUUUGUGCCACCAGGAUACGUGGGCACAUGACAGGUACUCACAUACACAAGGGUCACUGCACAUGGCUGCAGGAAUGCCCAGGUUGGACCGGGGCUUCAUCUGUGCUCCAACCCACCUGCACUCCAUGGUGAGGCACUCUGUUUAGAAGGCAGGUUGCAGACACUCACCAAAUUCUAGAAUGUUGUUGUAGGCAAGAAAGCCAAGCCCCAAUGUCUCAUUUCAUUGACAAAGAAUCUAAAACCUGGAGAAAUUAAAAGAUUUGGCUAAGACCAUACCAUUCAUUUAUCCUACAGCCAGUACCAGACUCCAAAGCAAGUCAUCUUUCAUGAAGCCACACAAUCCCCCAUUUCUGAACAUCUGUAAAAGUUUUUAUAGCCCCACUUAGCUAAAGAGAAUUAGAGUAAGUGUACAUCUAAAGUGCUGGGAUCCUGCUACAUGGUGGUUGCUCUUAGGUUGUUACAGGAGCAGAAAGGUAAUUAAAUGGACAUGAAUUGUCUCUUUUAUUUAAUAUACAACCAAACUGCAGUAAGGCAAAUGAAAUAAUGUACAUAUAAGCAUUGAGCACUGCCCAGCCACAUGGCAUUCUACAAUUCCAUUCAUUCAUUCAGCACUUUCAUAUCGCGUGGCUGUGAUCAGCAGAUAUUGUGCUAGGCACUGGAGAUUCAAUAGAGAACAAGCUUAUGUUCUAGAAAGAAAACUGACAAUAAUUGAUUCAGAAUAAAGGAAUUAUUAUAGAUUGUGAUAGGUGCUUAGCAGGACAUAAACAGGGAGCAAAAGAUAGGGAAUAACUGGGAGUUCCUACUAAAAGAGGGUGGUCAAGGAAGGACUUGAUGGAAAAGUGACACUUGAGUCCUGAGCUGGGGGAAUAAAAGGACCAGCUCUGCAAAGAACUCAGGAGAGCCAGUCAGGCAGACGGAAUCACAAACACCAAAGCCUUGAGAUAGGAAGGACUUUGGCAUGACUAAGGGAUGGAAAAGAGACUGGAGAACAGUGUGUAAGGAAGAAAGUGGCACAUGAACUUGCAGAAAAAAGCAAGGAUUUUGCAGGUCAUGAUAAAGAAUAUGGCUGUUCUAGGAUUGGUGAGGAAGCAGCCAUUGAAGAGCUUCUAAAUGAUGGCUCCAUCUGAUCAGUGGAUAAUGAGAGGGAAGAACAUAGAUAUGUUAGAAAAUUUCACAAUAAUUCAGGUAAGAGGUGAUGGGAUGUGGACCAGGGUAGAGAAGAGUGGAUGGAUGCAAGGCACAGUUCUGAGACAGAGCCAACAGGAUAUGCUGUUGGAUUGCAUUUCAGAGUUAAGAAGUGAAGAGUCAAAGACAGCUUCCAGUUUCACAAGGGUAGAGUUCAUGUCAGUGGAUUUAUAUGGGACAUGUGGAAUAUGAGAUGCCUCUGGGACAUGUAAGUGAAGAUAAUAGCAGGGAGGCUGUGAAGUGGACAGGGAGCUGAGAGUGAGGUGUCAUGAUGAAAGUGGUAAAAGGAGAACCAAGAGGUGUGUCACAGAAGCCAGGGGAGAAGAAUGCCUUAAGGAGAGAGGACUUCUAUCGAAUGCUGCUGUGAGAACAAAAAAGAUGAGGCCAGAGAAGUGCUCAUUCAACUGGGCAACGCAGCCAUGACUGGUGACCUGAAUGAGGUCACCAACUGCUCUGCAGUUGCAGAGGCAUCAUGGGAACAGACUCCAGUGUCUAUUGGGUAAAGGAACAAAUGGAAGGUGAGGAAAUGGAGACAGAAUAUACAAAUAAGUCUUGCAAAAGUUUUACUAUAAAAAGGGGAGAUAUAUGAACAUGUGGUCAAAAAAGAGUUUUUGGUUCAUGUAAGAUCAGAGAUACCAGGGCAUCUGUGAGGCUGAUGAGAACGAUCCAAUAGAAAGGGAGAGAUUGAUGAUGCAAAACUGAGAGAGGAGAAAUGAGGAGUGAAUUCUUCAAGAAGGCAAGGGGCUAUGUGUGAGCAUUGGCCUUUCACAGAAGCAGGAAAGCUUGUUCUGUGUAACAAUUGGGAAGAGAAAGAAAAUGAGCUAUGCAGACAGGAGUAUAAAUAGAGUGAUGGUAAUAAAAGAGUUACCAUCUCAUGACUCCUGUUCCAUCAGUGAAAUAUGAAGUGAGGGCAGGAGCACAAGUAGGACGUUUGAGGAGAGAAGAUAUAAAAUGGUCAUCUUGGAUACUGGAGCAAGUAAGGUUGUGAAGGAAGGGCAGUUGGAUUUUGGAACAGUGCUUAGUAUUCAUUUGAGGGUUUGAGGACAUGAAUCUAAAAUAAAGCAAGUUUGUCAAGUUGGAUGCUUUUAUUGUUCCCAUCACCCACCUGCUUGGCUACUAACCUACAGAAGUUGGAUCACUGAGUUCAACCAAAAUGGAGGUGUUGCCAGUCAAAUAUAUAAGGAGAAGAGAAAGGGGCAAGCAGAGUUGAGGGCCGUUGCAAGGAAAUGAUUAAAAUAAAAGAACACUUGUUGAAGAAGGAAAGUAAAAACAAGAGAAGGCUGAAGGGAGGUGAGAAAAUGGCAGUGGCUUGGAGAUCUCAAUGAGUUUUAAAACUGGAAAAAUGAGUUAAAAGAAUGGAAAGUGUCUUUAUGUAGAAGGUUUACUGACAAAAGGUCUAGGGAAGAGGGUGGUUGAGAUGCAGUAGAGGGAAAGGGUAUGGGAGGUGAGGAGGUCCAAGAACUGGGGAGGUCAUCUACAUGGAUGUUGAAGUCACCAAAAAGGACAACAGGAGGUCAAUGGUAAAGAAGACUAAGCCAGAAGCUGGGCUUUUAGAUGAACGGAGAAUGACCAGAAACUCCACAGAGCAGUUGGAACAUCCAGCAUCUUGAAAGGAGCAGGAUUUGUUUGUUCAGUUUUUGUUUUUAUUUUUCAGGAGGAAGGGGAAGAAAAAGUCAGGAGUUAGCCAUGGAACCAAGAAGAUCCAGGAGAAGGUUGAGGGGAUGUUCAGAGAAGUGGAAAAUGAGAGAUUGAUUAUCAUGGAGGAAAAGCCCGAGAAGGUCCAGUAAAAGGUUUGGGAAGGUGAAGGAGGACAGGCUGAGUCCAAUUAAGUGUUCAGAGAUGUGUAGAAUGGAGAGCCUGGUCUCUUGAUGGCAGCUGGGGGAGCCAUGAUGGGAAUGGUCCUGCACUUCUCUUGAAUGGAGACAGACAAGAUAAACCUAGGCAGAGAGAAAACUUGCCUCAAUCUUGGAUUAAAUGCAGAGGUCUGCUUGAACAUUCCAAGGUCAAACUAAAAGUCUACAAGAGCAGGAGACUUGAUUCAAAACAGCUCGUCUCUGACUGGUUUUCAUGUGGGCAGAGGGGACUCUCUCGACACUAAGAUGACCACAGCUCACAUAGAGGUGUCAGCUGAAAUAUGGAGGAUUACCACUACUGUAGAAGAUGUCCUAUGCAAAAAAAAAAAAAACCAGCAUAAGCUAA
rnacentral:lncRNA from 1 species